UUAACUUCAAUUUGUAUGGAGCCGGAACGUUUGGCCACGUUAGCCGCUAGGGGUGCUAUUCCAACUGCAUACCAUUUCGAGUUA
rnacentral:pre_miRNA from 1 species